rnacentral:rRNA from 1 species
GAGUUUGAUCCUGGCUCAGAUUGAACGCUGGCGGCAGGCCUAACACAUGCAAGUCGAGCGGAAACGAGUUAACUGAACCUUCGGGGAACGUUAACGGCGUCGAGCGGCGGACGGGUGAGUAAUGCCUGGGAAAUUGCCCUGAUGUGGGGGAUAACCAUUGGAAACGAUGGCUAAUACCGCAUAAUAGCUUCGGCUCAAAGAGGGGGACCUUCGGGCCUCUCGCGUCAGGAUAUGCCCAGGUGGGAUUAGCUAGUUGGUGAGGUAAUGGCUCACCAAGGCGACGAUCCCUAGCUGGUCUGAGAGGAUGAUCAGCCACACUGGAACUGAGACACGGUCCAGACUCCUACGGGAGGCAGCAGUGGGGAAUAUUGCACAAUGGGCGCAAGCCUGAUGCAGCCAUGCCGCGUGUAUGAAGAAGGCCUUCGGGUUGUAAAGUACUUUCAGCAGUGAGGAAGGUGGGUAUGUU